UUGCUUCCCUGACGUUAGCGGCGGACGGGUGAGUAACAUGUGGGCAACCUGCCUGUAAGACUGGGAUAACUUCGGGAAAUCGAAGCUAAUACCGGAUAGGAUCUUCUCCUUCAUGGGAGAUGAUUGAAAGAUGGUUUCGGCUAUCACUUACAGAUGGGCCCGCGGUGCAUUAGCUAGUUGGUGAGGUAACGGCUCACCAAGGCAACGAUGCAUAGCCGACCUGAGAGGGUGAUCGGCCACACUGGGACUGAGACACGGCCCAGACUCCUACGGGAGGCAGCAGUAGGGAAUCUUCCGCAAUGGACGAAAGUCUGACGGAGCAACGCCGCGUGAGUGAUGAAGGCUUUCGGGUCGUAAAACUCUGUUGUUAGGGAAGAACAAGUACGAGAGUAACUGCUCGUACCUUGACGGUACCUAACCAGAAAGCCACGGCUAACUACGUGCCAGCAGCCGCGGUAAUACGUAGGUGGCAAGCGUUAUCCGGAAUUAUUGGGCGUAAAGCGCGCGCAGGCGGCUUCUUAAGUCUGAUGUGAAAGCCCACGGCUCAACCGUGGAGGGUCAUUGGAAACUGGGGAACUUGAGUGCAGAAGAGAAAAGCGGAAUUCCACGUGUAGCGGUGAAAUGCGUAGAGAUGUGGAGGAACACCAGUGGCGAAGGCGGCUUUUUGGUCUGUAACUGACGCUGAGGCGCGAAAGCGUGGGGAGCAAACAGGAUUUAGAUCCCCCUGGUAGUCCACGCCGUAAACGAUGAGUGCUAAGUGUUAGAGGGUUUCCGCCCUUUAGUGCUGCAGCUAACGCAUUAAGCACUCCGCCUGGGGAGUACGGUCGCAAGACUGACACUCAAAGGAAUUGACGGGGGCCCGCACAAGCGGUGGAGCAUGUGGUUUAAUUCGAAGCAACGCGAAGAACCUUACCAGGUCUUGACAUCCUCUGACAACUCUAGAGAUAGAGCGUUCCCCUUCGGGGGACAGAGUGACAGGUGGUGCAUGGUUGUCGUCAGCUCGUGUCGUGAGAUGUUGGGUUAAGUCCCGCAACGAGCGCAACCCUUGAUCUUAGUUGCCAGCAUUUAGUUGGGCACUCUAAGGUGACUGCCGGUGACAAACCGGAGGAAGGUGGGGAUGACGUCAAAUCAUCAUGCCCCUUAUGACCUGGGCUACACACGUGCUACAAUGGAUGGUACAAAGGGCUGCAAGAGCCGACGAGGUCAAGCCAAUCCCAUAAAACCAUUCUCAGUUCGGAUUGUAGGCUGCAACUCGCCUACAUGAAGCUGGAAUCGCUAGU
rnacentral:rRNA from 1 species